UGGGGAAUAUUGGACAAUGGGCGCAAGCCUGAUCCAGCAAUGCCGCGUGUGUGAAGAAGGCCUUCGGGUUGUAAAGCACUUUUAUCAGGAGCGAAACGCUGUCGGCUAAUACCCGGCGGAACUGACGGUACCUGAGGAAUAAGCACCGGCUAACUUCGUGCCAGCAGCCGCGGUAAUACGAAGGGUGCAAGCGUUAAUCGGAAUUACUGGGCGUAAAGCGUGCGUAGGCGGUUUCUUAAGUCUGCUGUGAAAUCCCCGGCUCAACCUGGGAAUGCAGUGGAUGACUGGGAGGCUAGAGUGUGUCAGAGGGUGGUGGAAGUUCCCGGUGAUCAGCGGUGAAAUGCGAUAGAGAUCGGGAGGAACAUCAGUGGCGAAGGCGGCCACCUGGGACAAGCACUGACGCUGAGGCACGAAAGCGUGGGGAGCAAACAGGAUUAGAUACCCUGGUAGUCCACGCCCUAAACGAUGCGAACUGGAUGUUGGUCUCAACUCGGAGAUCAGUGUCGAAGCUAACGCGUUAAGUUCGCCGCCUGGGGAGUACGGUCGCAAGACUGAAACUUAAAUGAAUUGACGGGGUCAUAGCUGUUUCCUG
rnacentral:rRNA from 1 species